AUUGAACGCUGGCGGCAGGCCUAACACAUGCAAGUCGAGCGGAUGAGUGGAGCUUGCUCCAUGAUUCAGCGGCGGACGGGUGAGUAAUGCCUAGGAAUCUGCCUGGUAGCGGGGGACAACGGUUCGAAAGGAACGCUAAUACCGCAUACGUCCUACGGGAGAAAGUGGGGGAUCUUCGGACCUCACGCUAUCAGAUGAGCCUAGGUCGGAUUAGCUAGUUGGUGAGGUAAAGGCUCACCAAGGCGACGAUCCGUAACUGGUCUGAGAGGAUGAUCAGUCACACUGGAACUGAGACACGGUCCAGACUCCUACGGGAGGCAGCAGUGGGGAAUAUUGGACAAUGGGCGAAAGCCUGAUCCAGCCAUGCCGCGUGUGUGAAGAAGGUCUUCGGAUUGUAAAGCACUUUAAGUUGGGAGGAAGGGCAGUAAGUUAAUACCUUGCUGUUUUGACGUUACCAACAGAAUAAGCACCGGCUAACUUCGUGCCAGCAGCCGCCGUAACAC
rnacentral:rRNA from 1 species